GAUAGGGGGAAGGGGCUAGGGGUUGAUUUGGGUCACUGAGGUAAGGUGGGGAGGGGGAGUUUGCUGGACAGUUUUCUAGCUGUUGUCUUGGUAGUGCAGGAGAAGCUCUAACCGAGGGGAUGAAUCAGCAUUAAUGGAUCCACAAGGUGUUCUGUUCUGGAACCUUCUGGGGUUUUACACUGGCCGUGUCCCAAAUUUGUCUUACGUACUACUUACUAAAACGGCAUACUGUGUACUAAUCAUAAUACAUUCUAUUUAGCAGUGAUGCGGUCGAGUCACUAAACUUCAAGUCCGAGUCGAGGCCCAAGUCAAUGGUUCUAUAUCAGGUUAUUUACCCAGUCAGAUGUAGAGGAGGUUAUUUACCCAGUCAGAUAUAGAGGAGGUUAUUUACCCAGUCAGAUAUAGAGGGGUUAUUUACCCAGUCAGAUACAGAGGAGGUUAUUUACCCAGUCAGAUACAGAGGAGGUUAUUUACCCAGUCAGAUAUAGAGGAGGUUAUUUACCCAGUCAGAUAUAGAGGAGUUAUUUACCCAGUCAGAUAUAGAGGAGGUUAUUUACCCAGUCAGAUAUAGAGGAGGUUAUUUACCCAGUCAGAUAUAGAGGAGGUUAUUUACCCAGUCAGAUAUAGAGGAGGUUAUUUACCCAGUCAGAUAUAGAGGAGGUUAUUUACCCAGUCAGAUAUAGAGGAGUUAUUUACCCAGUCAGAUAUAGAGGAGUUAUUUACCCAGUCAGAUAUAGUUAUUUACCCAGUCAGAUAUAGAGUAGUUAUUUACCCAGUCAGAUGUAGAGGAGUUAUUUACCCAGUCAGAUAUAGAGGAGUUAUUUACCCAGUCAGAUAUAGAGGAGGUUAUUUACCCAGUCAGAUAUAGAGGAGUUAUUUACCCAGUCAGAUAUAGAGGAGUUAUUUACCCAGUCAGAUAUAGUUAUUUACCCAGUCAGAUAUAGAGGAGUUAUUUACCCAGUCAGAUGUAGAGUAGUUAUUUACCCAGUCAGAUAUAGAGGGGUUAUUUACCCAGUCAGAUAUAGAGGAGUUAUUUACCCAGUCAGAUGUAGAGUAGUUAUUUACCCAGUCAGAUGUAGAGGAGGUUAUUUACCCAGUCAGAUGUAGAGGAGUUAUUUACCCAGUCAGAUAUAGAGGGGUUAUUUACCCAGUCAGAUAUAGUUAUUUACCCAGUCAGAUAUAGAGGAGUUAUUUACCCAGUCAGAUAUAGAGGGGUUAUUUACCCAGUCAGAUAUAGUUAUUUACCCAGUCAGAUGUAGAGGAGUUAUUUACCCAGUCAGAUGUAGAGGAGGUUAUUUACCCAGUCAGAUAUAGAGGGGUUAUUUACCCAGUCAGAUAUAGUUAUUUACCCAGUCAGAUGUAGAGGAGUUAUUUACCCAGUCAGAUGUAGAGGAGGUUAUUUACCCAGUCAGAUAUAGAGGAGGUUAUUUACCCAGUCAGAUGUAGAGGAGGUUAUUUACCCAGUCAGAUAUAGUUAUUUACCCAGUCAGAUAUAGAGGAGUUAUUUACCCAGUCAGAUGUAGAGGAGGUUAUUUACCCAGUCAGAUGUAGAGGAGUUAUUUACCCAGUCAGAUGUAGUGGAGUUAUUUACCCAGUCAGAUAUAGAGGAGUUAUUUACCCAGUCAGAUAUAGUUAUUUACCCAGUCAGAUGUAGAGGAGGUUAUUUACCCAGUCAGAUGUAGAGGAGUUAUUUACCCAGUCAGAUGUAGUGGAGUUAUUUACCCAGUCAGAUAUAGAGGAGUUAUUUACCCAGUCAGAUGUAGAGGAGUUAUUUACCCAGUCAGAUGUAGAGGAGUUAUUUACCCAGUCAGAUAUAGAGGAGGUUAUUUACCCAGUCAGAUAUAGAGGAGUUAUUUACCCAGUCAGAUAUAGAGGAGUUAUUUACCCAGUCAGAUGUAGAGGAGGUUAUUUACCCAGUCAGAUGUAGAGGAGGUUAUUUACCCAGUCAGAUAUAGAGGGGUUAUUUACCCAGUCAGAUGUAGAGGAGGUUAUUUACAGAUGUAGAGGAGUUAUUUACCCAGUCAGAUAUAGAGGAGGUUAUUUACCCAGUCAGAUAUAGAGGAGGUUAUUUACCCAGUCAGAUGUAGAGGAGGUUAUUUACAGAUGUAGAGGAGUUAUUUACCCAGUCAGAUAUAGAGGAGGUUAUUUACCCAGUCAGAUAUAGAGGAGUUAUUUACCCAGUCAGAUAUAGAGGAGUUAUUUACCCAGUCAGAUAUAGAGGAGGUUAUUUACCCAGUCAGAUAUAGAGGAGUUAUUUACCCAGUCAGAUAUAGAGGAGUUAUUUACCCAGUCAGAUAUAGAGGAGUUAUUUACCCAGUCAGAUGUAGAGGAGUUAUUUACCCAGUCAGAUAUAGUGGAGUUAUUUACCCAGUCUGAGUUAUUUACCCAGUCAGAUAUAGAGGGGUUAUUUAGAAUUCAUUUUUUGUUUUUAAGUACACAGACUAUAUACAAAAAUUUUUUUUCUUAAGAAAUGCCUUCUGUUUAGAACACAAUUACAGGUAUUGGGACACGGCCAAUCAAUGGAGGCAGCACUAGUGGUAGAGUGGAGGGGCGGCAGGUAGCCUCGUGGUUAGAGUGGAGGGGCGGCAGGUAGCCUCGUGGUUAGAGUGGAGGGGCGGCAGAUAGCCUAGUGGUUAGAGCGUUGGGCCAGUAACCGGAAGGUUGCUGGAUCGAAUCCCCGAGCUGACAAGGUAAAAAUCUGUCUUUCUGCCUCCUGAACAAGACGGUUAACUCUCUGUUCCCCGGUAGGCCGUCAUUGUAAAUAAGAAUUUGUUCUUAACUGACUUGCCUAGUUAAAUAAAGGUUUAAAAAAUGUUUUAUAAAAAAGGACAACACACACCUCAGUUCAGCAGCACAGUAACUCCUAAUCUCUCCACCAGGGGGCAGGCUUGAUUCAGUUCUCAAUUCGACUUUCCAUUUAGUAAUUUAUUGAUGUCAGACUUCUACUUCAGUGGAAGUUCAGAUUGAUCUUGUACUAAAUUGAAAACUCCUUUUCAUAAAACAUUGGACAAAUUCAA